GGCCCAUUCGUCUAGUGGAUAGGACACCUGAUUCUCAAUCAGGAGAAGACGGAUCGAAACCGUCAUGGGCUGCCA
rnacentral:tRNA from 1 species